rnacentral:rRNA from 1 species
CAGCCCCUCGAGUGGUGGGGAUGAUUAUUUGGCCUAAAGCGUCCGUAGCCGGCCGAGUAAGUCCCCCGUUAAAUCCAGCGUCUCAAGCGUUGGACUGCGGGAGAUACUACUUGGCUAGAGAGUGGGAGAGGUGUGCGGUAUUCUGGGGGUAGGGGCGAAAUCCUUUGAUCCCCGGAGGACCACCAGUGGCGAAGGCUGCACACUAGAACACGUCUGACGGUCAGGGACGAAAGCUGGGGUAGCGAACCGGAUUAGAUACCCGAGUAGUCC